rnacentral:rRNA from 1 species
CGCUGGCGGCGUGCCUAACACAUGCAAGUCGAGCGAUUUACUUCGGUAAAGAGCGGCGGACGGGUGAGUAACGCGUGGGUAACCUGCCCUGUACACACGGAUAACAUACCGAAAGGUAUGCUAAUACGAGAUAAUAUACUUUUAUCGCAUGGUAGAAGUAUCAAAGCUCCGGCGGUACAGGAUGGACCCGCGUCUGAUUAGCUAGUUGGUAAGGUAACGGCUUACCAAGGUGACGAUCAGUAGCCGACCUGAGAGGGUGAUCGGCCACAUUGGAACUGAGACACGGUCCAAACUCCUACGGGAGGCAGCAGUGGGGAAUAUUGCACAAUGGGCGAAAGCCUGAUGCAGCAACGCCGCGUGAGCGAUGAAGGCCUUCGGGUCGUAAAGCUCUGUCCUCAAGGAAGAUAAUGACGGUACUUGAGGAGGAAGCCCCGGCUAACUACGUGCCAGCAGCCGCGGUAAUACGUAGGGGGCUAGCGUUAUCCGGAAUUACUGGGCGUAAAGGGUGCGUAGGUGGUUUCUUAAGUCAGAGGUGAAAGGCUACGGCUCAACCGUAGUAAGCCUUUGAAACUGGGAAACUUGAGUGCAGGAGAGGAGAGUGGAAUUCCUAGUGUAGCGGUGAAAUGGCGUAGAUUUUGGGAGGAACACCGGUUGGGGAAGGCGGCUCUUUGGACUGUAACUGACAUUGAGGCACGAAAGCGUGGGGAGCAACCAGGAUUAGAUACCUUGGUAGUCCACGCCGUAAACGAUGAGUACUAGCUGUCGGAGGUUACCCCCUUCGGUGGCGCAGCUAACGCAUUAAGUACUCCGCCUGGGAAGUACGCUCGCAAGAGUGAAACUCAAAGGAAUUGACGGGGACCCGCACAAGUAGCGGAGCAUGUGGUUUAAUUCGAAGCAACGCGAAGAACCUUACCUAAGCUUGACAUCCUUUUGACCGAUGCCUAAUCGCAUUUUUCCCUUCGGGGACAGAAGUGACAGGUGGUGCAUGGUUGUCGUCAGCUCGUGUCGUGAGAUGUUGGGUUAAGUCCCGCAACGAGCGCAACCCUUGCCUUUAGUUGCCAGCAUUAAGUUGGGCAUUCUAGAGGGACUGCCAGGGAUAACUUGGAGGAAGGUGGGGAUGACGUCAAAUCAUCAUGCCCCUUAUGCUUAGGGCUACACACGUGCUACAAUGGGUGGUACAGAGGGCAGCCAAGUCGUGAGGCGGAGAUAAUCCCUUAAAGCCAUUCUCAGUUCGGAUUGUAGGCUGAAACUCGCCUACAUGAAGCUGGAGUUAUUAGUAAUCGCAGAUCAGAAUGCUGCGGUGAAUGCGUUCCCGGGUCUUGUACACACCGCCCGUCACACCACGGGAGUUGGGGGCGCCCGAAGCCGGAUUGCUAACCUUUUGGAAGCGUCCGUCGAAGGUGAAAUCAAUAACUGGGGUG